GAUGAACGCUGGCGGCGUGCUUAACACAUGCAAGUCGAACGGAAAGGCCCAAGCUUGCUUGGGUACUCGAGUGGCGAACGGGUGAGUAACACGUGGGUGAUCUGCCCUGCACUUCGGGAUAAGCCUGGGAAACUGGGUCUAAUACCGGAUAGGACCACUUCUUGGAUGUUGUGGUGGAAAGUUUUUCGGUGUGGGAUGAGCUCGCGGCCUAUCAGCUUGUUGGUGGGGUAAUGGCCUACCAAGGCGUCGACGGGUAGCCGGCCUGAGAGGGUGUACGGCCACAUUGGGACUGAGAUACGGCCCAGACUCCUACGGGAGGCAGCAGAGGGGAAUAUUGCACAAUGGGCGCAAGCCUGAUGCAGCGACGCCGCGUGGGGGAUGACGGCCUUCGGGUUGUAAACUCCUUUCGCUAGGGACGAAGCUUAUUUUGUGACGGUACCUGGAGAAGAAGCACCGGCUAACUACGUG
rnacentral:rRNA from 1 species